AACGAACGCUGGCGGCAGGCUUAACACAUGCAAGUCGAACGCCCCGCAAGGGGAGUGGCAGACGGGUGAGUAACGCGUGGGAAUCUACCCAGAUCUUCGGAACAACUGAGGGAAACUUCAGCUAAUACCGGAUACGCCCUACGGGGGAAAGAUUUAUCGGAUUUGGAUGAGCCCGCGUUGGAUUAGCUAGUUGGUGGGGUAAUGGCCUACCAAGGCGACGAUCCAUAGCUGGUCUGAGAGGAUGAUCAGCCACACUGGGACUGAGACACGGCCCAGACUCCUACGGGAGGCAGCAGUGGGGAAUAUUGGACAAUGGGCGAAAGCCUGAUCCAGCCAUGCCGCGUGAGUGAUGAAGGCCUUAGGGUUGUAAAGCUCUUUCAGUAGGGAAGAUAAUGACGGUACCUACAGAAGAAGCCCCGGCUAACUUCGUGCCAGCCGCCGCGGUAAUAC
rnacentral:rRNA from 1 species